rnacentral:rRNA from 1 species
CCUACGGUAGGCAGCCGUGCUGACUAUUUUUCCCUUUUCUACCUCCUUCCCCCGCCCCGUCGCGUGCCGGAUGAAGGAUCUAUGGUUUGUAAACUUCUUUUAUAUGGGAAUAAAGUGAGGAACGUGUUCCUUUUUGUAUGUACCAUAUGAAUAAGCAUCGGCUAACUCCGUGCCAGCAGCCGCGGUAAUACGGAGGAUGCGAGCGUUAUACGGAUUUAUUGGGUUUAAAGGGUGCGUAGGUGGUUAAUUAAGUCAGCGGUGAAAGUUUGUGGCUCAACCAUAAAAUUGCCGUUGAAACUGGUUGACUUGAGUAUAUUUGAGGUAGGCGGAAUGCGUGGUGUAGCGGUGAAAUGCAUAGAUAUCACGCAGAACUCCGAUUGCGAAGGCAGCUUACUAAACUAUAACUGACACUGAAGCACGAAAGCGUGGGGAUCAAACAGGAUUAGAUACCCGUGUAGUC